UAUGGUCCAGGAAAGUGUGUUCAUCGCUGACUACGGUUUCAUUUUAAGAGAGAUAUGGGAUUUCUUUGUCAGGAGUCUGACAAACCACAUCUUUACGUCUUAAGAGGCCUACCUGGGUCAAGAAGGACAGUCUUCGCUAAGAAAAUCUUCAACUGUUACGGUGGCUCUGGAGUAAUACUCACCAGUUUCGACUACUUCAGACAGGAGGACGGAGUGGUUAAAUUCGAACGAAGGUUGUUGAAUGUCGCUCAUUCAGAAAAUAGAAAAAAAGCAAAACAAGCUAUGGCAAACGGAGAAAACCCUGUCAUCAUCAACAAUACCAACAUCCGUCGCAGCGAAAUGAAACCUUACGUUGAAAUGGGUAAAGAGCACGGUUACGCCAUUGAAAUUAAAUGCACACGCGAUACUUGGAGAGUGCCGGUUAAGGAAUUACACAAACGUGUUAAAGACAAGGUGCCACUGAGGGUGAUAAAAAAUAUGAAGAGGAAUUUUGAGUAUGCUCGCAAUGCAGAUGAUGUCCUGACUGAUAACACAGACUGGACAAGAAAGUAAAUUGCUACCUUCAAUUUUAACUUUAUUGGCACUGUAUGCUUAGAUUUAUGAUGUGAUUUUUUUGUGUGUCGACCUGCCUGUUUUUUUUUUUCACUUUAUUGUUCCCAGUAUUUAGCAUG